rnacentral:rRNA from 1 species
AUCGGCAGCGAGCUCUCAUUUAGUUUCCCAUUGUAGCUAAGCAGGGCUGCACCUGGUUAGUUCCUGGGUGGGAGACCACAUGGGAAAGCUAGGUCGCUGCUGUGU